CGUAACANGGUCUCCGUANGUGAACCUGCGGAGGGAUCAUUACACAAAUAUGAAGGCGGGCUGGAACCUCUCGGGGUUGCAGCCUUGCUGAAUUAUUCACCCUUGUCUUUUGCGUACUUCUUGUUUCCUUGGUGGGUUCGCCCACCACUAGGACAAACAUAAACCUUUUGUAAUUGCAAUCAGCGUCAGUAACAAAUUAAUAAUUACAACUUUCAACAACGGAUCUCUUGGUUCUGGCAUCGAUGAAGAACGCAGCGAAAUGCGAUAAGUAGUGUGAAUUGCAGAAUUCAGUGAAUCAUCGAAUCUUUGAACGCACAUUGCGCCCUUUGGUAUUCCAAAGGGCAUGCCUGUUCGAGCGUCAUUUGUACCCUCAAGCUUUGCUUGGUGUUGGGCGUCUUGUCUCUAGCUUUGCUGGAGACUCGCCUUAAAGUAAUUGGCAGCCGGCCUACUGGUUUCGGAGCGCAGCACAAGUCGCACUCUCUAUCAGCAAAGGUCUAGCAUCCAUUAAGCCUUUUUUUCAACUUUUGACCUCNGAUCAGGUAGGGAUACCCGCUGAACUUAAGCAUAUCA
rnacentral:rRNA from 1 species